AAGACCCGCUACAGUCUGCCCUCGCGGACAGGCUCAGUCACCGCGGCGAGACCAAGCCAUGGGGCCGCGGCCGCCCAAGGAGCCUGAGCCUGCCUCGACACCCCCCGCCCGAGGCCGGGCCGCCCGAACACUCACCUAGGGCCGCGCGGCCGCCCACACGGAAACGGAGACGCUGCCGCCACCAGCCGCCUAGGAACCCAGCUCGGCGGGCCGCAGCGCCUGCGCCCUCAGCCCGCCAUAGACGCCGCCCCCAGUAGCGACUCAGACUCGGGCUUCCGCGGAAGGCCUGCGGCGCAUGCGCUGGGCUCAGCGUUUGUUUUUAUGCAAGAGCGAGACCACGUGGUUGGAGGGAAGGGCCUUUGUACCUGCCUGCCUGCAAACCUGGAAAGUUAUCUCAGCCGCUGGCCCACUGGGCGCUUUGCGGAGGCCGCCUCACUCCCAGCGAAAAUACCUCGCUAGUAAGACAGUUAUGAAACUUAAGACAUAUUUCCAGGUGGGGGGGAUGCGAGUGUGCCGUGCGGACGUAAAUUCUCACAAUUAACCUUGGACCCUCAAGAGAAAGUCAGCUUGAGCAGGGGAGUUAGCGGCACCUUUUGGUCGCCAGGCUGUGACCUCACCUGUCAUCUGGCGCGACUGAACACGGAUAGAGAGGAUCUCAGUCAGAAGGCAUCACUAUGGUGUGGGCCAUUUAUAACUCCUGAAGGCAAAAGUGGUAUCUGGAAGAUUAAGUCAAAGGAAACCAUCUGGACUAUCCUUUGGGGAUGUUGCAGAGAAGCUGGGAGAGAAGUGGAGUUGGUGUGAAAGGAAGAAGCUGAGGCACAAUUAAUACAAGUAGAGAGUUUAUUUGGGCCAAGCUUGAGGACUGCAACCUGGGAGCACAGAUUCAAGUUGCCGUGGAUAUACACUCUGUUACAAGAAUAAUGAUACUGCUGCAGAUGACAAGCAACCUUAGGAAAAGAAAGCUGAGAAGCUGAAGGAAAAAUACAAAAAGGAAAUGACUGCAUACCAAGCUAAAGGAAAGCCUCCCAUAAAGGGAGUCAUCAAGGCUGAAGAAAGCAAAGAAAAAAAGAAAGAAGAUGAAGAGGAGGA